AGACCCGAAACCCGGUGAUCUAGCCAUGGGCAGGUUGAAGGUUGGGUAACACUAACUGGAGGACCGAACCGACUAAUGUUGAAAAAUUAGCGGAUGACCUGUGGCUGGGGGUGAAAGGCCAAUCAAACCGGGAGAUAGCUGGUUCUCCCCGAAAGCUAUUUAGGUAGCGCCUCGUGAAUUCAUCUCCGGGGGUAGAGCACUGUUUCGGCUAGGGGGCCAUCCCGGCUUACCAACCCGAUGCAAACUGCGAAUACCGGAGAAUGUUAUCACGGGAGACACACGGCGGGUGCUAACGUCCGUCGUGAAGAGGGAAACAACCCAGACCGCCAGCUAAGGUCCCAAAGUCAUGGUUAAGUGGGAAACGAUGUGGGAAGGCCCAGACAGCCAGGAUGUUGGCUUAGAAGCAGCCAUCAUUUAAAGAAAGCGUAAUAGCUCACUGGUCGAGUCGGCCUGCGCGGAAGAUGUAACGGGGCUAAACCAUGCACCGAAGCUGCGGCAGCGAACGUAUCACCCAAGACAACUUUACGGAGUUGACGAUUGACGGAGCGAAGCGACGUCAAAGCGUUCAUUAAAGUCGAGUUGGCUUAGGGAUACGUUCGUUGGGUAGGGGAGCGUUCUGUAA
rnacentral:rRNA from 1 species